UUUGGGGAAACCGAAAACCAUAAAUAGAGUAGGUA
rfam:Aquimarina sp. RZW4-3-2 contig9, whole genome shotgun sequence.